CAAAAGUUUGGUCCUAGCUUUGCUAUCAACUAUUCCUCAGCUUACACAUGCAAGUCUCAGCACACCCGUGAGAAAGCCCUUUUAACCUUCACCAGGCCAAGGAGCCGGCAUCAGGCACAACCCAAUUGCCCACGACACCUAGUCUCACCACACCCCCAAGGGUAACCAGCAGUGAUAAAUUUUGUGCAUAAGCGACAGCUUGACUCAGCCAGAGAAAAGAGGGCCGGCUAACCCGGUGCCAGCCGCCGCGGCUACACCCUGGGGGCUCAAGUUGAUAACCACCGGCGUUAAGCGUGAUUAAAGCUUACACAAGUUAGGGUUGAAUUAAUACUUAGUAGUGAUAAGCUUGUUAUUAAGAAAAACAUAAACGAAAGUUACCCUAAUUAUAAUACUUGAAUACACGACAGCUGAGAAGACAAACUAGGAUUAGAUACCCUACUAUGCUCAGCCGUAAACAAUUAAUUUACACCAAUCAGCGCCAGGGAAUUACGAGCCAUGCUUAAAACCCAAAGGACUUGACGGUGUCCCACCCCCCUAGAGGAGCCUGUUCUAUAAUCGAUGAUCCCCGCUAUACCCUACCAUUCCUCGCCUCAGUCUGUAUACCUCCGUCGAAAGCCUACCCUGUGAACGUCCAGUAGGCCCAAUGACCCCCCACCAACACGUCAGGUCAAGGUGCAGCUUACGGAAUGGGAAGUAAUGGGCUACAAUUUCUAGCAUAGAACAAACGAAAGACUAUGUGAAACCAUAGUCACGAAGGUGGAUCUAGUAGUAAAAAGAAAAUAGAGUGUUCUUUUUAACCCGGCUCUGGGACGCGUACACACCGCCCGUCACCCUCUUCGAUAGCUUUACUUCACGUUUAUAACCCUUUAUCCGCACCUUAGAAGAGGCAAGUCGUAACACGGUAAGUGUACUGGAAAGUGCACUUGGAUUACA
rnacentral:ncRNA from 1 species